AACGAACGCUGGCGGCAUGCCUAACACAUGCAAGUCGAACGAGACCUUCGGGUCUAGUGGCGCACGGGUGCGUAACGCGUGGGAACCUGCCCUUAGGUUCGGAAUAACUCCCCGAAAGGGGUGCUAAUACCGGAUAAUGUCUUCGGACCAAAGAUUUAUCGCCUUUGGAUGGGCCCGCGUUGGAUUAGCUAGUUGGUAGGGUAAAAGCCUACCAAGGCGACGAUCCAUAGCUGGUCUGAGAGGAUGAUCAGCCACACUGGGACUGAGACACGGCCCAGACUCCUACGGGAGGCAGCAGUGGGGAAUAUUGGACAAGGGGCGAAAGCCUGAUCCAGCAAUGCCGGGUGAGUGAUGAAGGCCUUAGGGUUGUAAAGCUCUUUUACCCGGGAUGAUAAUGACAGUACCGGGAGAAUAAGCACCGGCUAACUCCGUG
rnacentral:rRNA from 1 species